rnacentral:tRNA from 1 species
UAAUGGACUAAAAACUGGGCGGAAAUGGUAGCAAUUCAAAUAUUUCUAUGCUAUAUUUUUCUAAUUUUCUUCCUGCUAAAAGUACCAAAACUAUACAAAGAAUUUGCUUUAGUUGACAAAGAAUGAGAAAACCUUAUGGCAUAAUUUUAUGACCUCGCGUGCUGAUAAAAGGGUGCAUCUAUUAUUAAUGGUUUAUUAUAAAAAUCGUCGCGCUCGAUGAAAGCGAAUUGCGAAAUUAUUUACAAACUUUAGUUAAAAGUAUUAAAAAGUACCUUGUGUUACUGGCAUUAUAUUACAACAAUAGUUUACUGAUCUAUGAAUUAAUAUCGAAAGAACUUUUAAAUUUACAAAAUUUACAAAAUUUAUAAAUUAUGUGAUUGAAUACACAUAGUAGGAAAAAAGCUUUUCUUAAAGCGCUCCGUGUUACAAGGAAACAGUGUUAAUCUAUUUCCGUACCUUAAAUUACAAUUGUGUCCAUUGGCCCGAGAAGGUGGUAUUAAAUGAUUAAGGCGUGAAUCAGGCUGUCUGAUUUUGUCAAAAGUUUUUAUGCACAAACCAUCACGUCUUGCGCGUAAUGUCGAACAUUUAGCUUGGUCCAGAGCAGCGUCAUAGCUUAAUGUGGGGUAGAUAAAGAGGUCUAGUGGUCUAGUACAGGACUGAUUACUUAUGUUUCUAGUGGUCUAGUACAGGACUGAUUACUUAUGUCAACAUCUUUAACAAUAUGUAUUUAAAAAACAUGUAUUUAAAAAACAAAUAUGCUAAAAUUACCAUUAAACAGCAUAAAAUAUUGCUAUGUUGUAAAUUAAUAGUCGUUUUACAUAUAGGCAUAGCUGCCAAAAUUGUUUCAAUUCAUGUAUACUAAUGGACAGGGUGCAAUAAAUCGUGUACUUACGUACCGGAGGUACGCCAAUAUUACGGUCUAGUGCUUCUUUAUUUUCAGCUAAGUACCACGUAGCCGUAUAGGUACGCGAUACUCUCACUUUGCUGGUACCAUUUGACAUUUCCAAACCCAAGGUACAUGAAAUCUGAUUGGACUGAUGAGACGAAUUGAUGUUAGAGUCGAUUGUAGUGUUUGUACAAUAGACCUUACCGAUUAUUCUCUCUUACCCAAUGGCCUCGUUUUCAUGUCAAAUACUUACUCAUGUUUUGUGCUUAGUAGGGUUGAAAAUUACUUUGUUAUUGGGCCUAAGAACAGCAAGAAACAAAUUCGUCCAGGAAAACAUGGGGAUAUAAUCUUUAUCUGCCCCUGACAUGCUAAAAUAAGUUAACAUGGAAACAAGACAAUUGGGGGUAAAAGAGGAUAAUCGGUAAGGUCUAUUGUGCUCCUUUUUCUAACUGGUAGUUUCAGGUUACUGAAUAAAUACCUUGCAGAAAUCUGUAAUUUAUGUACUUCACUCAACAGUCUAAGUACACCUUGAGUUUUAAAUUUGCCAGUAGGCCGUGGGCUGUUGGCCAAAAUUAUUUCGCUUCGUGGCACCCAUGUGGGAAAUACUUGGUUUGGGGUUUAUUUGAAAGGCAUAUAGGUACAUCACUACCAAAAAAAGUUCCCAAGCAAAAAAGUUGCCCAAUCCCGAGAAAAUGGGUGAUCAAUGAUUAUCCUCUAUUAAAUUGUAUUACAGCAAAAAAAUGGGAAAUUCUGUAUUCAAUUACAAUAAAAAUGACUUGCAUCAUCGGAAAACGUACAAAAAACCGCAUAUAAGACUUUUAAACAGUUUUUUCAUUUUUCAAAUAGUAUUUGAGUUGGAUGCUUGUGAUGUUACUCUGAGUGUAUAUCCACACCGGGCAAGCUUGAAAAAUAUGCCUGACCACGGUGGAAAUCGAACCUACGACCUUUGGAAUACUAGCCCAAUGGCAAUGCUCUACCAACUGAGCUACGCGGUCUGGUCGGUUCGAGCAUGUGAUAUUUCGGAACAGAAUCUAGUUCCUUCGAUAUCAAUUUAAUCUAGUAAUAAUGAUAUUUUCGUAAUGAUAUUUUCGUAGGUUCGAUUUCCACCGUGGUCAGGCAUAUUUUUCAAGCUUGCCCGGUGUGGAUAUACACUCAGAGUAACAUCACAAGCAUCUUAUUCACCUGAGUACAUUGCACCAACACAGAAAAUAUCAGUAUUUGAGUUAUUGCUGUUUCAAAUGUGAAAAUUGGACCAAAAUGUCGCAAUAAGGCCUGGGUACUAGGUCAAAAACGUGUUUUGAAAAGCGUAUAACUCGAAAACAAUUAUAGAUAUAAAAAACUCUGUUUAAAUGUCUUAUAUGUAGGUUUUUGUAAGCUUUCUGAUAAUGCAAGUCAUUUUUGUUGUAAUUGAAUACAAAAUUUUACAUUUUCUUGCUGUAAUACAAUUUAAUAGAGGAUAAUCACUGAUCACCCAUUUUCUCGGUGUUGGGCACGUUUUUUCCUUGGGAACUUUUUGUGGUAAUUAAGCAUCUAUGGUUCAAUGAAAUUUGAACUGCAGAAAAUCUAUUUCCCAGGAGGGUGCCACGAAAUUGCUUUUCUAUAAUCACGUUUACUGCUGUUCCGUUGAGAAGAACAAUUAACAAUACAGUAAAAUAACUGAAUAUAUGCCAAUAUGCCCCAUUGGGUUGUUGCAGCAAAUAUCCACACUCCCCCCAAGGAGGAAAUUUCUGUCGUCCGGAGGGAGAGAGAAAAUUUUGUGCAUAGGACAUCUGAAGUUGUUAUGGGGGGGCGCUUCAACAGGGGUAGUUUAGGUUUUGGGACUUGGGUGGGAGCUCCCCCCAAAUUGCAGGUUUUUUUAUUUUUUUUUGGGGGGGGGGGAUUCCUCCCUCCUAUGGUCACAAACCUAGCCUGCAAACAGGCUCUCAAGCUGAAUUGAGAGCCUGCAUCGAUGACUAAUGAAUUUGAAUAUCUGCGUCUCAAAUCGUGACGCGAAAUUCUCAUUGGUCAGAUGCUAUAAUUUAUAUGUUUCCGCUGAGCUCUAUAUAUGUCAACUGCUGAAGCACUAUGCAUAAAAAAAACACAUUAACUGAUCAAAUUGGUCUUGGCCGUCUUAUCUCAAAGCACGAAAUGUUCUGUUUUGAGAAAACAGUAUUUAAAACAUUUGAACUUUUGCUUGAAUAUCUUAUAUUUCGAAAAACAGUAUAAACUGUACAGUCUAAAUUUAGUUUGCACGGUCUAAAUUUAGUUUGCACGAAAGUUGUAAACAACACCAUAUAAGGAUAGACAUUCCAUAUUUGGAAAAACGAACGUUACGGGGCAGAUAUUCAAAUUCAUUAGUCAUCGAUGCAGGCUCUCAAUUCAGCUUGAGAGCCUGUUCGCAGGCUAUCACAAACCCAGACGUCAUUUCCUAUGCUCACCUAACCUGAGUAUCAGGCUCUAUUUUACAAAUAAUAGCCUGACACAAACCUUAAUCCGAUCGCUUAUUUCCACCCACAGCAAAGUUUAUAUUUUGUAUCCAAUCAAAAUGUUGCAGGAGAAAUUUAAAUUUCACACAACAACAACAACAAUCUAAUUACAGUUGUGGUCACUAUAAAAUAUAUCAACAACAAUAGUAUAAUCUAAUGAGCACCAACCAAUCAAAUGACAGAUUAAAAAAUCUUUUGUCUCAUAGACCAAUCAGAUUUACAACCGAAAUACAGUUGUAUGGCAUGGACUUUUGUUAAGGUUUGUAUCAGGCCUAUUUAUUUAUUUAUAGGCCUGAUCGCAGGUUAAUGCUCACCUAUUUCCAAGUGACUGGGGAUAGAAAUGAUGUCUGGGUUCACCAACUGCACCUCUAAGUGCACCCAUUUUUAUACUCAAAGUUAUAUGCCUUCCCACUUUGUACCAGUUUAAUAUUAAUAAUGAUAUUCAAUAGAUUCAUUCCCCCAUUUUGGGGGGAAAUGCUCCCCCUCCCGCCGAAUUUAGCUAUUUUCAGAUUUGGGGUCGAGAGAAUUCGGGAUUUUGGGGGAAAAUCCCCCCAUUCCACCCACAAAAUACCCCCAACUUUCAAUUUCCUCUGUGGGGGAGGUGUGGAUGUUUCCUGGAAUGACCCAUUUUCAUGGAAUGGCUGAGAACACAAAACAUUGGACACUGCCUUACAGUCAAACCGGAUGUUUGUUUCCGCGGAAUAUUGCAACAUUGUUGGGAAUAUUGCAAUUUUGAUUGCGAGAUUGCUCUGAGCAAGUUGCAACUGACGUGAUCAAAUUGCAAGUUGAAAUUCACAAUCAGAUUUGUAAACAAAGUCUCUGAUUGGCUACUGGUAGCAAAGAAGAACCAAUCCAUUUGCUCAGAGUAUUUGAUUGGUU